UAUAUACAGGGCCGGUCCGCCCAUAGGUCUAUGUGGGACCACGGCUCCAGGCGGCACUGUGACAGGGGCAGCAUUAUAGCUUACAGCAGUCAGGGAAGGUCCUGACCUUCCCCAAUCAGCCCCUCAGCAUGGGCGGGCUUGGAGGCCUCCAAAAAUUGUAAAGGAAAAAAAAUCAGGGUCAUCAGCUGGGGAUGGCCAGGGACACGUUUCUCACUGCAGUUAAGGUGUACCGGCAAUGCAAAGACUGGCAUGUUCACUGGCAGUGCUCGCUUCUCUGUCUCUUUGUAUACAUGCCUGCAGCAUUCCUGCCUGCCUCUCUGCUUCACUUAGAUAUAUAUCUAUCUAUAUAAAAAGUGAGUACUUAUAUUUAUUUUUUUCCGUACACUGAUAGGUGCAUUUUCCAUCAUUUAGUUCACAUAUCAAGUGAGAAAAUGUGACCAAUGCAGGCAAGAAGAGGGGGGGGGGGACAGUAAAAAACUAAACUAUUUAUUAACUAUAAAAAACAAAUAUAAAAAAAAUUUUUAUUGGUCCUCCUAUUCCUCCUCUACUGGUUUCUUCACACAUGAUCUGUGAAUAAAAUUAACAUUUAGCGUCCUUUCCCAUAGCCAUUAAUCGAACAGAACUCCAAAUACCAAAAAACAUGUUCGGCCGUCACACUUGUCGUUUGCUCGGCUAUACGUAGGUAUAUCACUUCGGAGAUAUGGCAUUUGGCCGAACAGCGAAUCGGCCUAAAUUCAGGCUAAUUGCACGAGCCUAAAGUUUUCUAUGAUGCUGACAGCCAGAGGACUGGCUUUCAGAGGCUAGCCAGCACUAGCACAUACAAACCACAUUAGUUCCUGCAUUGUCUGUAACCUUCCCAGCCUGAGGACAGCUGGUUCACAGUGUUAAAGACAGUAAUGUAAUCAGGGAAAGAUAACAGACUUGAGGCUUGGUAUCUCAUCCAAUACAAUCUACAAUAACAUGCUAGAGUCAUUGUCACAGAAAAUGCUUGAAUGACGAAGACAUUGCCAGUAAAAGUGUGAAUGCAAUUGCUGAUAGUAGUAAAUAUCUAAAAACACACAAAUGUACCACGCAAGCUUACAGCAGUGCCUAAAACACAGACUUAUUCUUCUAGUACUUUUUUUAUCCUGCUGGUACUUUAACCUGUACAUACAAUAUUAAAAUACUGCUGUUGAAGAUUUAAAUAGUGUGCAUUACUACUGAGAUGUUAAUAUAGCAUGACAUGAAUUAGAGUGCGGCUACGUUACAAUGCCAUUGUUAAUGAAGAACAUUGUUACAAAUCAGAUUACAGUUGUAUCUACUAAACUACGUCUUAAUAUAAUAAUCCUUUCAUCAAGUUUUCAAAGGAAAUAGAUUUUUAUUUUAAAUGAAGUAUAUGUAAAAAAAUAAAUAAAUAAGAAACUACCUUUUGUAUAUGACAGGACCCUUAGCCAUAUACAUACACCUUGGGUGAAAUAGUGUUUGAAAACCAACAGUUCUAUAUAUAAUUCACUGUCAUAUUACAUCUUAUUCUAAUUUAUGAAACAGAGCAGAUCCCCAGACGUACUGCCAGGUAGAUAAAGAAUUUCACAGAAUCCAAAGUUUAUUGGUGAUUCUGAAAUGUUUGUGUGAUAUGGGAAUGAUAAUGGAAAUAAGCUUAUCAUCUAAAAGAAGUAAGUAAAGUAGGGAGUUAUAAAAAUUAUAUCAUAGCAGGUAGAACACAAAAGGUAAGAAAGAAAUCAGCCACACUAUGACUCUUCCCAGUGGGAGGACACAAUAUAACAUUUCUUCAUGUGAAGGAAGCUUGUAUAAGAAGCAGGCUUUGGGUUUAUGCGAAUCAGCAAGGUUCUAGGUACAAGAAAGUGUGAUCUCUCUAUAAGCAGUCAGCAUUCAAUUGGUCAUUUUUCUAUCACUGUUAUGUUGCUGUCUAGUGUUAAAAUUGUGUAAGACGUUUUAGAUACAUAGAACUAGAUUAAUUUCCAUGACAUUAAAGGAUCACUAUAGUGUCAGGAAAACAAAGCGGUUUUCCUGACACUAUAGUGCCCUAAGGGUGCCUCCACCCACAGGGCCCCUCUCCCGUGGUGCUGAAGGGGUUAAAAUCCCUUCAGCAGCUUACCUUUAUCCCCUGCCGACGUCAGCUCCCAAGUGCCGCCCGCUCAUUCAAACUGUCUAUAGGAAAGCAUUUCUUAAUGCUUUCCUAUGGACGUUCUGCACACUGGAUGCGAAUUUCGCAUCCAACAUCACACAUGCGCCUCUAGCAGAUGUCAGGAAGACAGCCGCUAGAGGUUGGAUUAACCCUGCUAUGUAAACAUAGCAGUUUCUCUAAAACUUCUAUGUUUACAUGUGAAGGGUUAAAACCUGAGGGAGCUGGCACCCAGACCACUUCAUUGAGCUGAAGUGGUCUGGGUGACCCUUUAAUAAGGUGUGUGGGAAUUCUGAUGAUGUUAUUAUAGAAAGAAUGAAUGCACGUACUUUCAAAGUUUCAUGAAGUUUCCGUUUGUUAGUGACACCAGUAUAUACAUCAUUGUAAAUAACAUAUCAUGGCAUGGCACAUUAUGUGCUCAUCAUCACUGUAUCUUGGCUGCAGUAUUGGGGAGAAAAAUCAUGCAAAAGAAACCAGUAAAAUAUUCUUGACAAAUAUAACAUAGGUGUUUAGCAAGAGGCUUGUAGAGGAGAAUGAUCAAAGGCUUAUAUAUAUAUAUAUUGUAUUCGUCUUGUACAACAUCAACAGAGAGUGUGUAGGAACACACACUGUUCAUCGUGUUCAACCUGUGAAUGCCAGAAAAACACACAAUAUGUUCUCCACCCCUCUGCCAGUCCAUUGAUUUACUGGACUUAAAAAACAUUGCUCAAAAAUACAUUAAAGGGUAUCCAGACACAUAGUGGUUAUAGUUAUCGACUUAAUAAAUCUGCAUGUGUGCAGCUUCCUGUAAUGUAAUAACUGAGCUGCCUUUCUAUGUACUUUCCUUGCUAAGCAAACCCUUCAGGUAACCAGAGUCUGCCUUCUGAUGUUUCCAUUAGUUUUUUUUUUGUUUUAUAAAUUGGUAGAACUCUCUUUCCUCAUAAGGUUUUUUGUAUUUUAUUAGACUUAAACCAAUGUUGGAAUUUUGCAUUUGAUUUUUAUUGUGCAAACCUGUGAUUUCCAACAAUACUUGUAUUUAUCAAAAAAAUAAAACAAAUAAAUAAAU